rnacentral:rRNA from 1 species
AGAGUUUGAUCCUGGCUCAGAUUGAACGCUGGCGGCAGGCCUAACACAUGCAAGUCGAACGGUAACAGGAAGCAGCUUGCUGCUUCGCUGACGAGUGGCGGACGGGCGAGUAAUGUCUGGGAAACUGCCUGAUGGAGGGGGAUAACUACUGGAAACGGUAGCUAAUACCGCAUAACGUCGCAAGACCAAAGAGGGGGACCUUAGGGCCUCUUGCCAUCGGAUGUGCCCAGAUGGGAUUAGCUAGUAGGUGGGGUAACGGCUCACCUAGGCGACGAUCCCUAGCUGGUCUGAGAGGAUGACCAGCCACACUGGAACUGAGACACGGUCCAGACUCCUACGGGAGGCAGCAGUGGGGAAUAUUGCACAAUGGGCGCAAGCCUGAUGCAGCCAUGCCGCGUGUAUGAAGAAGGCCUUCGGGUUGUAAAGUACUUUCAGCGGGGAGGAAGGGAGUAAAGUUAAUACCU